GAUGAAGAACGUAGCGAAAUGCGAUACGUAAUGUGAAUUGCAGAAUUCAGUGAAUCAUCGAGUCUUUGAACGCACAUUGCGCCCUCUGGUAUUCCGGGGGGCAUGCCUGUUCGAGCGUCAUUACAACCCUCAGGCCCCCGGGCCUGGCGUUGGGGAUCGGCGGAAGCCCCCUGCGGGCACAACGCCGUCCCCCAAAUACAGUGGCGGUCCCGCCGCAGCUUCCAUUGCGUAGUAGCUAACACCUCGCAACUGGAGAGCGGCGCGGCCACGCCGUAAAACACCCAACUUCUGAAUGUUGACCUCGAAUCAGGUAGGAAUACCCGCUGAACUUAAGCAUAUCAAUAAGCGGAGGA
rnacentral:misc_RNA from 1 species